CUGUGAGCGUGUCUUCUCAACGGGCUAGCGACUCGGCGCAGCUCUGAAGAGUGGAGAUUGGCGAUUUGGGGUGCUGGAUACGCCUCGGUUCCAAGCUGUGGCUAGAGGAUCCCCGCCGUCGUGUUGUUCCGGCUGUCGGUGCUACUUCCGCGGCUGCUCCUUGGGCGCUGCUUCGCUGUCCACGCGAAUUGUGCCGUUGCUGUUCUGGUCAUCCAUCUCGCCCUGCGUCUGCUCGGCCUGCUGCUUUGCCCUGCGUGCGAUCUGAUGGAAUGCAUUCAACAUACAUGGUGGAAGAGAGUUGCCCCCAGGCCCCCAGUACUGAACCACGACGUCCACAAUAAGGAGAUGGAGAUCAUCGUCCCAGGGGGUUGAUGAUAUAUCUAUGGAUAUUAUGUUGACUGAUAGCCCAUGGUUCAUCUGAGCUCACUUUGGCGCGAAUGCGGUGAUGAAGGAGAAAAAAGGAAAAAGUUGAUACGGUUUUCCUUGCAGCUCAAUUUUCACACCCUUCCCAGGUUAAUAUUCACUGCUUUCUUUGGACCAACUUUAUGCUGCCUUUUCUCUGCACACACCUCAUCAAAACUGAACCAAGAGGCAUCACAUAGGUUUAGAUGGCGCGUGUGAACAUGGUUUAAGAUAUGAUAUUUCUUGGAGAGAGCAAACUAACCCUUUCAAUUUCACGAUCUAUUAACUAAAAUAUUGAUCGACGGCACAUUCUGAUGCUUCAACUUUGUUUUUGCCUUAUUGUCACUUAAUUAGGUAAUAUAGUAAGAAAGAAUACUGAAUGAGACUCGAAGGAAUUUUGAUGUCAACUCGUGAUUAGCAGAACUUAAAAUGAUCUCUUUAGACAAGUAUCAGAUUAAAGAAACCAAUAUAGAACCUUAUUAAAUAGGGACUUAGCUGGAAGGUGAGAAAGAAAUUACAAUUGCUAUUGGUGCAACAAUACAAAAUUUAGCUUAGCUAUCUAUCAGAUUUCUUGACUCAAAUUCCAGCUAGCAAAGACGAAGAUUGAAUCCCCAAAAAUCCAUGCUAAACCAAAUAUAGACUUGUUGAUUUACCUCAAUUGAAUUAUUUAUAAAACAUUAUACAUGAACUUGUUUUAAAUACAUGACAAAAUCUAGCUGAGCUAAACCUUCCUGGAAUCUUAUGUGGAUUUUUAGAGUUUAGACCAAGGAGAAAUGGGGAAAUAAUUCGGGACAGAGGGUAGUGCACACGGGAGCCUCAGAAUAGCGGGUAGCCUAGCGAUGUUUAUAGGAAAAAGGUGGCUUUUGUCUCAUCAGUGAGUUUGUUGCCCAAUGCCCGUGCUACUGAUAUAAUGUCGUUCAUGACAUACCUCGCCCAGUUCAAAUUCGGGAUGUCAUCCAAAUUUUAUGAGAGCCACAAAAUAUGUUGGAAGAAUAACUACGGAUCAAAUGGACCUCGAACUUUAUCUCACCGUGAACACCACAUCAAUCACAUUCUAACAGGAGGCCUCAGCCAUCGCCAAGGCAUCUCAUGGAACAUGGGGGAAACUCCAAAUCGAACAGAGCAACACAAAAAUAGGAAUCAGGCAUGAGGAAAGGGGAAUAAGCUAACCUGGGUAAUGGGAUCAGCAGGCCCAGGAGGGUGCCACCAUGCCAGUGGCCUCCACAAGAAUAAUCUUGCACACGAUGUCGCCUCAAGCAAUGGAUCGCCAACACCAGAACCGAAGCACUUGUUGUUCAUGGUUUCAGUUAUGAGAUAUCCCGUGAACUGAGGUACAAAUCACAAAUAGGUCAGCUCAUGAGCUAAAGAAUAUAAUCUUAUCCAAGAAAAGAUAAAAUAGUUCGCAGCAACAAAGCUUUAUUAAGUUCUUUACUAAGAAAGCUAACUUAGAAAUUACAGCCCAAACAGAGAAUAAAUGGUUUAGAACAGGCAUAAAUCUGAUCCAUCUUCCAUCAUCAAUAAUAAAAACAGGAAAUCUUGAAAUCCUUGAUCCAAACAUCAUAAGUCACAAAAGUCGAAGCAAACAGUGAACUGAAAAUUACUCUGAAAAAAACUUUUCUUUUGUUGACUCUAAACGAAGCCCAUGCCCUGUUACUCCAUUCUUUUGUUGACUCUAAAUGAAGCGUGAUUUAUAUGUUCGAUUACAGCCAUGACUUGGCGAUAUUCUAAAGAAUAUAACUAUAAGACCAGAGAUAGAAAACUAACAGAGAAUGCUGAGAAUAGAGAACACCUGUAAUAUAGUAAUGGUACAAAAAUUUGGUCGUAAGGUUGUGUGUGGCCGACAAGGGUGGCUCAGGGAGCGCACCAUGCAGCAGCGUGCGAGCGCUGCGGAAGAUGGGGAUGGGAGGGAGGCGUUUGCGUGCGCAUUUGGUGAUCAAAUGGCUCAGGAGGGGACCGAUCUUGGGAUAGGAUCAGUCAACCAACAUGUAGUAGUGACCUGACCGGAAAGGUAGGAUUUGCAUGAGCAGGUCAACAGAGAAUUAUAAUGUCAGCAUAUAGCAAUAAAACCAAUGAGCACUAUCAAGUUACCAAAAAGAGGGCGUUUACCGACAGCUUACCGUUAAUUUGCAGUCGUACCACUCAGUUAAAAUUAAGAAUAACCACACCUCAUUCAAUUAUGAUUCAAACAACAUGAACAAUUAUCCGUGAAGUUCAUUUCUAAACUACGCGCUUAUUAAGAUAGGUGUUUACCGGUAAUAGGGUAAAAUGAUACAUAAGUUUUAACUUCAGGAUAGGUAUUUACUGUAUUUUUCAGAGAUGGACAUGCGGGUCACCCCAUUAACUCAACAAGUAGAUAUAUUAGCUAGCUAUUGGUGUUCUCAGAAACCAUAAAUAGUUUAAACCGAAUUAUGUGUGCUUGUGCAGAUAGUAUAGAUGUAUGAUGGAUUCCUAGUUGCCGUGAUCAAUGAUCAAGGAGAUGCUUCUACAUGCAUACGCAUAGAACUAAGCAUUCAUUCUUCUCCUUGAUUCUAUUCUCCUGUUAAGCUCUCAAAUUUCUACACAUUUAUGAUAGAAAAAUGUGAUACUACAACUGCAGUUUAUAUUGCUGUAUUUAUAUGCUUCCAUACACAUGCUAUGAAGCACGAAACAUGACAAGGAAAAUACAAAGGAUAGCCUAAAGCAAAACAAUGGGGUUAACUAAAAUUUACCUAUUCUAAACUUGUUUCUUUCUGAACAGAGCAUCAACUCAAACCACAUAUAGCAGUGAAGCAACAAUGAUAUUUUCUCUAAAAAUCCAACACAGUGCCACAGACAGCACACAACACACUUAAGUACAAAAAAUCAUCAUUUUCCUUUGAAAGGGAGGGCGUUGGUUGGGUAAUGUGUACCAAAAAAUCAUGCCAAAUUUGAACGAAAGCCUGGGCAACCACUGAGACAUAAAGGAGUCAGAGGGGAGGUAAGGAGGAUUGGGAGUAGGUCAUCUAUGCAAGGAAGAUCACGGGGACCAAAAUCCUACAUGAGACUGAAAUGGAAAGGUUGCCCAAGGCAGACAAGAAUCAUCGGAAUCAUUUUCGAAUCUAAAAAUGGAAUAUAGACAGCAGUGACGAUAGUAGUAGAUGCAGAAUUAUGCUUAAGAGCACAACUGAAAUCUAUAUAACCGUCGUAUUCAUGUGCAGACAUAUCUUCAUCACAUCAUCGUUUUCCAAGUAUAGUUAAUAAGAAAUCCGAUUCACAUAUGUCCUGGUCAUCCCAUUUAUGCUGAAUAUAUUCAAGGCACUUCUGUAACAAUUUUUUUUAAAUACCCACUGUUAUCUAAUAUCUAGUAAACUGGGUACAAAAGACGGAGGCAAGAAGCCCAUGUUCUCUCAGAUCGAGUAUAUCCCUGUCCUGAAUGGUGUAUCCAAGGUUCCCCAUGUCAUGUUUAAGUACGAAUCACUUGUUUAUUGUGACAUGGACCACUGAUAUCUGAAAUAUAUGAAAAGACCCAUCAGGGCCCAGGAAAAAUAUGCCCUC